rnacentral:rRNA from 1 species
UACGUAGGGCGCGAGCGUUGUCCGGAAUUAUUGGGCGUAAAGAGCUCGUAGGCGGCUUGUCACGUCGGGUGUGAAAGCCCGGGGCUUAACCCCGGGUCUGCAUUCGAUACGGGCUAGCUAGAGUGUGGUAGGGGAGAUCGGAAUUCCUGGUGUAGCGGUGAAAUGCGCAGAUAUCAGGAGGAACACCGGUGGCGAAGGCGGAUCUCUGGGCAACAACUGACGCUGAGGAGCGAAAGCGUGGGGAGCGAACAGG